rnacentral:rRNA from 1 species
UGGGGAAUAUUGCACAAUGGGGGAAACCCUGAUGCAGCGACGCCGCGUGAGCGAAGAAGGUUUUCGAAUCGUAAAGCUCUGUCCUAUGAGAAGAUAAUGACGGUAUCAUAGGAGGAAGCCCCGGCUAAAUACGUGCCAGCAGCCGCGGUAAUACGUAUGGGGCGAGCGUUGUCCGGAAUUAUUGGGCGUAAAGGGUACGUAGGCGGUCUAUUAAGUCAGGUGUGAAAGCGUGAGGCUUAACCUCAUUAAGCACUUGAAACUGAUAGACUUGAGUGAAGGAGAUGAAAGUGGAAUUCCUAGUGUAGCGAUGAAAUGCGUAGAUAUUAGGAGGAAUACCGGUGGCGAAGGCGACUUUCUGGACUUUUACUGACGCUCAGGUACGAAAGCGUGGGGAGCAAACAGG